CGGCGAGUGAAGCGGCAAUAGCUCAAAUUUGAAAUCUGGCUUCCUUUGGGGGUCCGAGUUGUAAUUUGCAGAGGGUGCUUUGGCGUUGGUGGCGGUCUAAGUUCCUUGGAACAGGACAUCGCAGAGGGUGAGAAUCCCGUUUGUGGUCGCAUGCCUUCGCCGUGUAAAGCCCCUUCGACGAGUCGAGUUGUUUGGGAAUGCAGCUCUAAAUGGGAGGUAAAUUUCUUCUAAAGCUAAAUACUGGCCAGAGACCGAUAGCGCACAAGUAGAGUGAUCGAAAGAUGAAAAGCACUUUGGAAAGAGAGUCAAACAGCACGUGAAAUUGUUGAAAGGGAAGCGCUUGCAGCCAGACUUGCCCGUAGUUGCUCACCCAGGCUUUUGCCCGGGGCAUUCUUCUGCGGGCAGGCCAGCAUCAGUUUGGGCGGUCGGAUAAAGGCCUCUGUCACGUAUCUUCCUUCGGGAUGACCUUAUAGGGGAGGCGACAUGCGACCAGCCCGGACUGAGGUCCGCGCUUCUGCUAGGAUGCUGGCGUAAUGGCUGUAAGCGGCCCGUCUUGAAACACGGACCAAGGAGUCUAACAUCUAUGCGAGUGUUUGGGUGUCAAGCCCGAGCGCGUAAUGAAAGUGAACGGAGGUGGGAACCCUUGGGUGCACCAUCGACCGAUCCUGAUGUCUUCGGAUGGAUUUGAGUAAGAGCAUAGCUGUUGGGACCCGAAAGAUGGUGAACUAUGCUUGAAUAGGGUGAAGCCAGAGGAAACUCUGGUGGAGGCUCGCAGCGGUUCUGACGUGCAAAUCGAUCGUCAAA
rnacentral:rRNA from 1 species